rnacentral:rRNA from 1 species
UACAGAGGUCCCAAGCGUUGUUCGGAUUUACUGGGCGUAAAGGGUGCGUAGGUGGCCGGGUAAGUCUGAUGUGAAAUCUCUGGGCUCAACCCAGAAAUGGCAUUGGAUACUAUCCGGCUGGAGGAGUGGAGGGGGGACUGGAAUACUUGGUGUAGCAGUGAAAUGCGUAGAUAUCAAGUGGAACACCAGUGGCGAAGGCGAGUCCCUGGACACUUCCUGACACUGAGGCACGAAAGCUAGGGGAGCAAACAGG